UCAUCGGGAUGUCAGGAGCUUCAUUUUUAAAUAUACGGUUUCGAGAUGGUGUUUUCAAAAAUACUUUUUUUACACUAGAUAUUGGUUGGUCAACUGCGUUAAAAUAUGAACGCACUUCUUCGGCUACUCGAUGAAAUCCGUGUGUAGUACACAUGUUACAUGCGCCGUCUUCGGGUAAAGUGCUUGAAUUGCUUUUCCCGAUUUCACCAUGAAUGGCGCAGCGUCAGACAAAAAUAAUAAGACUUCA